AGGAGCUGCGGAGAAUACCGCGUGAGGGAGGAAGGCUCUUGGGUUGUAAACCUCUUUUUUUCAGGGAAGAAAAAAAUGACGGUACCUGAGGAAUAAGCAUCGGCUAACUCCGUGCCAGCAGCCGCGGUAAUACGGAGGAUGCAAGCGUUAUCCGGAAUGAUUGGGCGUAAAGGGUCCGCAGGUGGCUAUGUAAGUCUGCUGUUAAAGAACCUAGCUUAACUAGGUAAAAGCAGUGGAAACUACAAGGCUAGAGUGCGUUCGGGGUAGAGGGAAUUCCUGGUGUAGCGGUGAAAUGCGUAGAUAUCAGGAAGAACACCAGUGGCGAAGGCGCUCUACUAGGCCGCAACUGACACUGAGGGACGAAAGCUAGGGGAGCGAAUGGGAUUAGAUACCCCAGUAGUCCUAGCCGUAAACGAUGGAUACUAGGCGUGGCUUGUAUCGACCCAAGCCGUGCCGGAGCUAACGCGUUAAGUAUCCCGCCUGGGGAGUACGCACGCAAGUGUGAAACUCAAAGGAAUUGACGGGGGCCCGCACAAGCGGUGGAGUAUGUGGUUUAAUUCGAUGCAACGCGAAGAACCUUACCAAGACUUGACAUGUCGCGGAUCUUCUUGAAAGGGAAGAGUGCCUUCGGGAGCGCGAACACAGGUGGUGCAUGGCUGUCGUCAGCUCGUGUCGUGAGAUGUUGGGUUAAGUCCCGCAACGAGCGCAACCCUCGUUUUUAGUUGCCAGCAUUAAGUUGGGCACUCUAGAGAGACUGCCGGUGACAAACCGGAGGAAGGUGGGGAUGACGUCAAGUCAGCAUGCCCCUUACGUCUUGGGCUACACACGUACUACAAUGCUACGGACAAAGGGUAGCUACACAGCAAUGUGAUGCCAAUCUCAGAAACCGUAGCUCAGUUCAGAUCGCAGGCUGCAACUCGCCUGCGUGAAGUCGGAAUCGCUAGUAAUUGCAGGUCAGCAUACUGCAGUGAAUUCGUUCCCGGGCCUUGUACACACCGCCCGUCACACCAUGGAAGCUGGUCACGCCCGAAGUCGUUACCCCAACUGUUCGCAGAGG
rnacentral:rRNA from 1 species